AUUGCACAGGUGCUGCAUGGCUGUCGUCAGCUCGUGUCGUGAGAUGUUCGGUUAAGUCCGCUAACGAGCGCAACCCUCGCUGUGUGUUACAAGUGUCACACGGAACUGCCGGUCAUAAACCGGAGGAAGUGGGAUGACGUCAAGUCAGCAUGGCCUUUAUAUCCUGGGCUACACACACGCUACAAUGGGAAGGGACAAUAGGUUGCGAAGCCGCGAGGCGGAGCCAAUCCAGCAAACUUCCUCAGUUCAGAUUGCAGGCUGCAACCCGCCUGCAUGAAGUUGGAGUUGCUAGUAAACGCAGGUCAGCCAUACUGCGUUGAAUACGUUCCCGGGCUU
rnacentral:rRNA from 1 species